rnacentral:misc_RNA from 1 species
UACGGAGGGGACUAGCGUUGUCCGGAAUUAUUGGGCGUAAAGCGCGCGCAGGCGGCCUCUUAAGUCUGAUGUGAAAGCCCCCGGCUCAACCGGGGAGGGCCAUUGGAAACUGGGAGGCUUGAGUAUAGGAGAGAAGAGUGGAAUUCCACGUGUAGCGGUGAAAUGCGUAGAGAUGUGAAGGAACACCAGUGGCGAAGGCGACUCUUUGGCCUAUAACUGACCCUGAGGAGCGAAAGCGUGGGUAGCGAACGGG